AUGAACGCUGGCGGCGUGCCUAAUACAUGCAAGUCGAGCGAACAGACGAGGAGCUUGCUCCUCUGACGUUAGCGGCGGACGGGUGAGUAACACGUGGAUAACCUACCUAUAAGACUGGGAUAACUUCGGGAAACCGGAGCUAAUACCGGAUAAUAUAUUGAACCGCAUGGUUCAAUAGUGAAAGACGGUUUUGCUGUCACUUAUAGAUGGAUCCGCGCCGCAUUAGCUAGUUGGUAAGGUAACGGCUUACCAAGGCAACGAUGCGUAGCCGACCUGAGAGGGUGAUCGGCCACACUGGAACUGAGACACGGUCCAGACUCCUACGGGAGGCAGCAGUAGGGAAUCUUCCGCAAUGGGCGAAAGCCUGACGGAGCGACGCCGCGUGAGUGAUGAAGGUCUUCGGAUCGUAAAACUCUGUUAUUAGGGAAGAACAAAUGUGUAAGUAACUAUGCACGUCUUGACGGUACCUAAUCAGAAAGCCACGGCUAACUACGUG
rnacentral:rRNA from 1 species